AAAUCAUUUUCCACAAAAUCUCGCAACUUCUCCCUGUUGGUAACCCACAAUGCAACAAGUGCUCCAGCCGUAUGACAAAGUUGCUUGACAGGGAGAGAUAAGAAGUAUCGGCUAGGCAAAGUUGGAUACCUAACUUUCUGACGAGCACUACCAUUUUCCCAAGGGGGGUCUAUAACUAUGAGAUUGAAGCCACAAUCAGAACCAGCUGGGA
rnacentral:misc_RNA from 1 species